CGGAAGAGAGACGGGUGAGGUGAGUCAAGGGUAAGUUUUUCUCCACCCCCCCUACCAUCAUCCUAAUCUCAGUUUCUCAGAGACUGAGCCGUUAUGUUUCCAUGACGCCAUCCUAGAUGUAGACUUUCCAGAUUUCACAGUAGAACUGCUGUUAAUGACCUGCUGACCACCAGGACGUUUCUAACCCUAACACUGGUCUCCAAGGCACUGAUGCCAGCAUCCCCGUCCACAUCAACAACAUCUGCCAGAGGAACUACGUGACGGUGGAGAACGGCCGCAGACUGAAGCCCACCAACCUCGGCAUCGUCUUGGUGCACGGCUACCAUAAGACAGAUGCUGAGCUGGUGCUGCCGACCAUCCGGAGCGCCGUGGAGAAGCAGCUGAACCUCAUCGCUCAGGGAAAGGCCAACUACCAGCAGGUGCUGCAGCACACGCUGGACAUCUUCAAGAGGAAGUUCCACUACUUUGUGGACUCCAUCACCAGUAUGGAUGAACUGAUGGAGGUCUCCUUCUCCCCCAUCGCCGCCACUGGAAAGCCCCUCUCCCGCUGUGGGAAAUGCCACCGCUUCAUGAAGUACAUCCAGGUGAGCGGUUCUGCUGCUGUUGAUGAAUGGGAGCCACAGUCUUGGGGUUUGAGCGCC